CCUAAAUGGAAUUUCUUUGAGGGGUCUGGUUCCAGAUAUGAAAAACCCCAAAAUUGUUUUUCGAGUUUAUGGGUCAAUCAAUAUGGUUUCUUGGUGACUAAAGAAGGAAGAGGCUUGGAGGGGUUUGUUGGAGAUAUGGAUGAAUUUCAGAGGAAUUGAGGUUAAAAUGUUAACGUUAGUCUGCUAGGCUGUAGUGUAGUGAGUGGGGCUUAUUCAAUGACCGACUUUCAGAGAUUGCGAUGUUAAUGAAUGUGAAUUAUUGGAGCUAAAAGGUUUGUAAAGUACAAGCAAGGUAUAUGAGAAAAGGUGGCGGUAAUAAGUAAAAGAAAAAAACAUUAUUAGAAAUAAUUGAAGAGAGAGAGACAGAGGUAAUAUAUACAUACAUGUUUAAAGGUGGUAAAUUUCAGCUCAAAAUUUGCGGAAAAAUGGGGAACCCUUGCCCAUCCUUACUAUGGUUCUGGUUGGUUGUAGUUUCUGAAUAGGUGGGGCUUGCUAAAAGUACUAGAUUGAGAAGUAAUGACUUGGAAAUGUGGAAUACAGUAGGUAAGGUUUGGAUUUAUGUAAUCAGUUUCUUUGUUUUGGUCGAAUGGAGUAGAUGGGGAUUUAGCUGCAGAAGAUUUACGGUUGGAAAGUGGUUUGUCCGCCGUGAGAUGCAUCAGGCAGUUGUAUAUUUAAUUCCUUGGUCUGCAUAGUUGGGCAGAUCUGAGCAGCCUUGCUUCUUCAACUCAUCCAUACUCAAAGAAUUCAGCACUGUUUCUUGCAAGGGUAUUUAGGAUUCGCUUUCUUUUACAGCUUCAUGCUCCACCACUGCAAUAUUCAUGUUCUUGUUCUUUGACAAAGUUUAAGGAACUUUGUAUUCUUAUUGACAAAGUAUAAUGCAAGCAUCUGGUGACCAGUUACUUAAUUUGCAUUAUCCAAAGACGGUUUUGAAGUAGUUUUAUGAAUUCUGUGUUGCUGAUGGAGUGGAAUGAAAAACCUCCUUCACUAUGGGAUUUGGAGAACCUUUUCAUGUUUGGUGCAAAAGUAACUGACAAUUCCAAGAAGUUACAACCAGCAGACUGGGGUAUUGAAGGGGAACGAGGAAUGAACUCUGAAUCUUUCUAUUCAACUGGGGGUGAUGGGGGCAGUGGUGUUUCUGGCUCUGAUUUAGGAGAUGGCUCAUCAAAAAGUUCAAAAUCAGCUUCCGUCAGUUCUUCAGUUGGGGAAAGUAAGAAACCCAAUUUCAACCUUGAUGCUUUUGAAGGUUUCCCGAAUGAUUUCAUUCAUAAAAAUGAAUCAGCUAAAGCUGAGGCCCUUGGAUCUUCUCCAACUCAUGAGGUUUCAGCUGGGUCGGGUGAGCCACUGCUCAGUCUAAAGCUUGGUAAGCGGAUGUACUUUGAAGAUGUUUGUGCAGGAAAUAAUCCUAAAUCCUCUUCCCUUUCUGUUAAAUCCUCGUCAAUGGCAAAGACAAAGAGGAGUAAGUCCACUGGUCAGAGUGCAUUUGCACCACACUGCCAAGUUGAAGGCUGCAAUAUUGAUCUGUCCUCAGCCAAAGAUUACCACCGUAAACAUAGGAUUUGUGCUAAUCAUUCGAAAUCUCCGAAGGUCGUUGUAGAUGGGGUGGAACGUCGGUUUUGCCAGCAGUGUAGCAGGUUCCAUGGCCUUUCUGAAUUUGAUGAAAAGAAGCGAAGCUGUCGCAGGCGACUUUCUGAUCACAAUGCAAGGCGCCGUAAGCCACAGACAGAAGCACUGAGAAAUCCGACAAGGCUGUCCUCAUCACUGUUCAGUACAGAUGAGAGGCAACAGAUGAGCCUUGUUUUGGACCAAGCCCGAAGUGUUUACACAAGGCAUCCCUCAAACUUAACAUGGGAUGGCGCAUGCAGCUUCAAGUUUGGACAAACGAAAGAAUAUUUUCCAAAGCCUGCAAAAGGAGGAGGCACUGGCGGGCAGCUGAAUUUGGCCAACAAUGGAAUACCAAGUUCAAUAACAAUGCUGUACCAUGAUUCCAGUAGGCUGUCACCUUCGAAGGGCACUGCCACUGAGGUUCUCAACCGAGGUGCUGAAGAAUCUAUGAUCUCUUUCAACCUGGGUGCAACACAGGAUUUUCAUCGUGCUCUCUCUCUUCUGUCAACAAGUUCGUGGGUUUCAGGCGAGGCGAAACCUGUUGCACUUGAUAAUAAUACCAACCAAAAUUAUCAGAACAUCCCUCAACCUGGGAUGCAAGCGAUGACCCAAGGUUUGCCAGUCUCAUCAGAGUACUGGCAAACUCAACAUCUAUCCCUUAAUACCCAAGAAGCACAUGUCUCCCACUCACACAGUAACGGCAGCAACCACUUCCAACAGGAUCUUCAUCAGUUCAAAGGGCCCUAUGAGUUUGGUUAUCAGACCAACCAAUUCAAUUAAAUUCGAUCCAAAUGACUGUACUUUUUGCCACAUAAAUGUCACCCUUAUCAAGGAACUCAGCACUGCUUUGGUUUUACAACCGACAAGGUUUCAGAUCCUGCAUUGUGUGGUUGCGAAUUCAAGAGCUGUCUGUUUAAUUUAAUUUAGAUGUACCAUGUUAUGUCAUAAAUAAAUAAUUUGGAACUCAGCACGGCUUUGCUUUACAUUGUGUGGAAUAUAUUUUCUUAUCCUCCUCCUGACCCAGAAUGUUGUAUGGAGGUA